ensembl:lncRNA
ACAGGGGUACCAGUACAGAGUCAAUGUGGAGGCUAUAUACAGGGGGUACCGGUACAGAGUCAAUGUGGAGGCUAUAUACAGGGGGUACCAGUACAGAGUCAAUGUGGAGGCUAUAUGCAGGGGGUACCAGUACAGAGUCAAUGUGGAGGCUAUAUACAGGGGGGGUACCAGUACAGAGUCAAUGUGGAGGCUAUAUGCAGGGGGUACCAGUACAGAGUCAAUGUGGAGGCUAUAUACAGGGGGUACCGGUACAGAGUCAAUGUGGAGGCUAUAUGCAGGGGGUACCAGUACAGAGUCAAUGUGGAGGCUAUAUACAGGGGGUACCGGUACAGAGUCA